GCGAGGUUAACAUACAUGACGAUAAUGACAUUUUGUUAAGAUUAUGGAUUAGUGUAAAAUGUGCAGCACUUUUUUAUAUUCUAAAGUAGAAGAGAGGAAUGUGUGUCAAGUACUAAAUAGAUUAAUAUGCAUUCUAAAUUCUAAGCUGACAUCACACUGCAUAACAUUCUAUGAAAUAAACCACCAAUUGUUGGAAAGUUUGAUAUGUU